CAUAUCCGCAUACAUUCGUAAUUCCGAAGCUUCGUAAUUCCGAAGGUUCGUAUUUCCGAAGGUUCGUAAUUCCGAAGGUUCGUAAGUCCGAAAACGAAAUGAGGUUCGUAAUUCCGAA